AUGUACAAGGAACUGAUUUAAUUCAUAAGUGCCUCUAUCUCUCAAUCACUUGACCUCCAAGUGGUUGAAAAUAAUUGAUAACCAAAUCUAUCUUACUUGAAAUGAUGGGGAAAAAAUCUGGAAUCAGUUGUUAGAGGAGAUUUUUUUUUCCAUCAAUAAUUUAUUGCAAAAAUAAAUAGAAGACUCAUCACCCACCUAAAGAAAAAAG
rnacentral:misc_RNA from 1 species